rnacentral:rRNA from 1 species
UACGUAGGGUGCGAGCGUUGUCCGGAAUUAUUGAGCGUAAAGAGCUCGUAGGCGGUGUGUCGCGUCGGUCGUGAAAACUUGGGGCUCAACCCUGAGCGUGCGGUCGAUACGGGCAUCACUUGAGUUCGGCAGGGGAGACUGGAAUUCCUGGUGUAGCGGUGAAAUGCGCAGAUAUCAGGAGGAACACCGGUGGCGAAGGCGGGUCUCUGGGCCGAUACUGACGCUGAGGAGCGAAAGCGUGGGGAGCGAACAAG